ensembl:lncRNA
GCCGGACAAGCAGAAUUCCCUAACGUCUGCCCAGCUCUUCUCCCUCUGUCCCCCUUCCACAGUCCUGCUUUUUUUUUUUUUUUUGGAGAUCAUUAAGGAGCAGGGCACUGCGUCUCCAUUUGUCACAGGGACACCGAGCCCAUUUCUGGGCCAAACUCUGUAGCAGGAGUUGUUGUUUAUGAAGUAUGUUUAUGAAGUUUAUGAAGUUGAAGUUUAUGAAGUUGUUUAUGAAGUCCGAUUCUUUGCAACCCCAUGGACUGUAGUCCACCAGGCUCCUCUGUCCAUGGGAUUUCCCCAGCAAGAAUAAUGGAGUGGGUUGCCAUUUUCUUCUCCAGGGGAUCUUCCCAACCUAGGGAUCAAACCUGAGUCUCCUGCAUUAGCAGGUGAGUUCUUUACCACUGAGCCACCUGGGAAGGCCCUGUAGAAGAAGAGGAAGAUUUAUCUAAGGGAGUUCCUAACAUAAGCCUUCUUUUUGCAAACAGACAGUAAAAAAAUAUAUAUAUAUAUACAUGUACAUUUCCACAUGUUCUAUAUCAUUGUAGUUUGUAUAAUAGCUUAAUAGUAAAUGUAAAUUUAGCACUAUGAUGAGCAUAUAAUAAAUGUAUAUGUUAUAUACAGAUAUCUGCAGGUAUAGAUUUAUAAGUCUGUAUAAAAUCCCCUUUUAUUCCCAUCCCCUUCCCUGGCCCUCUGCCCUGGCAGAUCGUUCAGUGCCCUGGCAGACUGUUCGCUCUGUGUGGUGGAUUUUUGCUUUCUCCAGAGGCUCCUGCUGUAUUUCUUCUUCUGUGUCUUUUUCGCCCAGCACCCCACUUUCAGGCCGCGCCCCGUGUUGCCACUAGUCCAUCUCGCCUCCUCCUUCUUCCUGCUGUGGGACUCCUUCCGUUGUAGUUAUCAGAGGCAGACUGGAAUAUGGUGAGGAGUCAAGAAAGAAGGGUGGCUUCAGGGAUAGAGGGAUGGAUGAAUGGAAGAUGGCUGAAUGGAUAGGUGGAUAAAUAGACAAAUGGAUGGAAGGAAGGCAGGCAGAUGGAGCUCUUGGCAGCCUGAGAUUGAAAAUCUGUAUCUAUAUCUGCUAUCCUCUAUGGCUCCCUAGUGUUCUCAGGUGAAAAUCUAGCCCUCCCGUCCUCUUACGAAGCCCAGUAGUCUGGCCUGGGCUUAUCUCCUUGACCUCAUCUCCUGCCUUUUCACCUGGCUUUCUUCAGGCACCCAGCUGGUUCCUGCCCCCUCCCACCUUUGCUCUUGCCUCUCCUUGCCCUCCUCUUCACCCACUCCUUCCUGUCUCUGGGCUCCUCGUCCUAUCCUCCAGGCCUCAGUUUAAAUACUCUCUCCUCCAGGAAGCCUUCCUUGAUGACCCUGUCCAACUUCAUCUACAUCACUUUGUUUAUUUCCUUGUCAGGAUCGUCCCUCGGACCUGACUGGGAAUAAGUCCAGACUCAGUAUUCACUGCAUGAAAGAGGGGACAGGCUUAGAGACAGAGAUUCCUAGGAUUGGCACAGGCUUAGAGAAAAAGAGAGAAGGAAGAUUCUAGAAGAGGCAGGACGGGGUGGUGCUGGUUGGGCUCAAGAGUGAGGUUUCCUCAUAGGUCAGGAGAUGAGGAGGAGAGGGGAGUGAAGGCAUAAGAAAGGUGUUUGUGUAGUUGGGAAGGAGUUCAGGAGGCCAGUGCGGACCUGCUUGGACACGGGAGGAGAAGGUUGCGGGGAAGCUGGUGGUAUUGCCAGCCGCUAGGAGGGAGGGAGCUUUGGCAGUCCUGCCGCAGCUGGGAGAAGGCAGCCGCCUCUUAUCUUUAGAGGUCUUAAGAGCACGUGCUGAAGCUAAGUCACUUCAGUUGUGUCUUACUGCGAUCCCACGGACUGUAGCUCGACAGGCUUCUCUGUCUGUGGGAUUCUCCAGCCCACUCCAGUAUUCUUGCCUAGGAAAUCCCAUGGACAGAGGAGCCUGCUGGGCUACAGUCCAUAGGGUCGGAAAAGAGUCGGACACAACUUAGCAACUAAACAACAACAGAGGAAGGUGCAGACAUUUGUUAAGAAACAGGAUGGAGUGUGGCAUCUUGAAGCCAGGAUUGUAAACUCGUGGCUGGCUCAGGAUCUGCCCACCCAGCUCCCCGCCUCUUCCUGGCGUGGGCCUCUGGCUCACACUUCUCAGGACUCUCCCGUAUUUCUGCCUCAGUCAUCAUGUGGGAGAAAUCAGGCCAUGAUUAGGAAGGCUCCCUCCAAGUUCAGGGAGAAAAGAGUUUCUGCUGGGGAAAGGAAGGGAGGUCAUGCCAGCAGAUGGCCAGAUUCCCAGCGUUUUCAUGGGCACUGGAAAUGGGGCAGGGCCAUGUCCUAGAAGGC